UACGAAGGGUGCAAGCGUUAAUCGGAAUUACUGGGCGUAAAGCGCGCGUAGGUGGUUCAGUAAGUUGGAAGUGAAAUCCCCGGGCUCAACCUGGGAACUGCUUUCAAAACUGCUGAGCUAGAGUACGGUAGAGGGUGGUGGAAUUUCCUGUGUAGUGGUGAAAUGCGUAGAUAUAGGAAGGAACACCAGUGGCGAAGGCGACCACCUGGACUGAUACUGACACUGAGGUGCGAAAGCGUGGGGAGCAAACAGG
rnacentral:rRNA from 1 species